GCCCCCGUAGCUCAGGGGAUAGAGCACUCGCCUCCGGAGCGAGGUGCGCAGGUUCGAAUCCUGCCGGGGGCACCA
rnacentral:tRNA from 1 species